UACGUAGGGGGCAAGCGUUGUCCGGAAUCAUUGGGCGUAAAGAGCGCGUAGGCGGCCCUGUAAGUCCGCUGUGAAAGUCAAGGGCUCAACCCUUGGAUGCCGGUGGAUACUGCAGGGCUAGAGUCCGGAAGAGGCGAGUGGAAUUCCUGGUGUAGCGGUGAAAUGCGCAGAUAUCAGGAGGAACACCGAUGGCGAAGGCAGGUCUCUGGGCCGAUACUGACGCUGAGGAGCGAAAGCGUGGGGAGCGAACAGG
rnacentral:rRNA from 1 species